CAGAGUAUGAAACUGAGAUGCUUGUACAAAUGAGAUGCACUAAAUGUAAUCACCAACAUGAAAUGGAUAAGUUUUGAUCAAAAUAGAUAACUUGCUAUGGACCUGCAUUAAUUAGCAAUAUUUAGAUAAAUAGGCUCUGUGUUGCCAGGAAGCUGGAGUCAGAAGCCAGAUAUGGAAGUCAAACAUCUGAUUUGGGACACAAGCAUCCUAAGUGCUGUCUUAACUGCUUAAAAUGCUCACCCCUAAAAGCAACAACGGACUGUGUACAGACUGACGCUGGUGAAAGCCUGGAAUGUGGAUGAACUGCAGGCCUAUGCUGAGCUCUUGAGCCUGGAGAAUCCUGACUUCAUUGAAGUGAAGGUGAGCCACUGCUGGCCUCCGACUCAUGGCACCCUGAGCGUUCUUUGCUGGCUGCCACAGAGUUAAAAUCUUAAAAUCCCACAAGCAGUCCCAGCAUUUUAUGUUUUUCAUUCAGCAAUAUUAAU